UACCAGACUCCUACGGGAGGCAGCAGUGGGGAAUAUUGCACAAUGGGGGAAACCCUGAUGCAGCGACGCCGCGUGAGCGAUGAAGUAUUUCGGUAUGUAAAGCUCUAUCAGCAGGGAAGAAGAUGACGGUACCUGACUAAGAAGCCCCGGCUAACUACGUGCCAGCAGCCGCGGUAAUACGUAGGGGGCAAGCGUUAUCCGGAUUUACUGGGCGUAAAGGGAGCGUAGACGGCGAUGCAAGCCAGAUGUGAAAGCCCGGGGCUCAACCCCGGGACUGCAUUUGGAACUGUGUGGCUGGAGUGUCGGAGAGGCAGGCGGAAUUCCUAGUGUAGCGGUGAAAUGCGUAGAUAUUAGGAGGAACACCGGUGGCGAAGGCGGCUUACUGGACAGAAACUGACACUGAGGCUCGAAAGCGUGGGGAGCAAACAGGAUUAGAUACCCUCGUAGU
rnacentral:rRNA from 1 species